GCAGUCGAGCGGUAGCACAGAGAGCUUGCUCUCGGGUGACGAGCGGCGGACGGGUGAGUAAUGUCUGGGAAACUGCCUGAUGGAGGGGGAUAACUACUGGAAACGGUAGCUAAUACCGCAUAACGUCGCAAGACCAAAGUGGGGGACCUUCGGGCCUCAUGCCAUCAGAUGUGCCCAGAUGGGAUUAGCUAGUAGGUGGGGUAACGGCUCACCUAGGCGACGAUCCCUAGCUGGUCUGAGAGGAUGACCAGCCACACUGGAACUGAGACACGGUCCAGACUCCUACGGGAGGCAGCAGUGGGGAAUAUUGCACAAUGGGCGCAAGCCUGAUGCAGCCAUGCCGCGUGUGUGAAGAAGGCCUUCGGGUUGUAAAGCACUUUCAGCGGGGAGGAAGGCGUUAAGGUUAAUAACCUUGUCGAUUGACGUUACCCGCAGAAGAAGCACCGGCUAACUCCGUGCCAGCAGCCGCGGUAAUACGGAGGGUGCAAGCGUUAAUCGGAAUUACUGGGCGUAAAGCGCACGCAGGCGGUCUGUCAAGUCGGAUGUGAAAUCCCCGGGCUCAACCUGGGAACUGCAUUCGAAACUGGCAGGCUAGAGUCUUGUAGAGGGGGGUAGAAUUCCAGGUGUAGCGGUGAAAUGCGUAGAGAUCUGGAGGAAUACCGGUGGCGAAGGCGGCCCCCUGGACAAAGACUGACGCUCAGGUGCGAAAGCGUGGGGAGCAAACAGGAUUAGAUACCCUGGUAGUCCACGCCGUAAACGAUGUCGAUUUGGAGGUUGUGCCCUUGAGGCGUGGCUUCCGGAGCUAACGCGUUAAAUCGACCGCCUGGGGAGUACGGCCGCAAGGUUAAAACUCAAAUGAAUUGACGGGGGCCCGCACAAGCGGUGGAGCAUGUGGUUUAAUUCGAUGCAACGCGAAGAACCUUACCUGGUCUUGACAUCCACAGAACUUUCCAGAGAUGGAUUGGUGCCUUCGGGAACUGUGAGACAGGUGCUGCAUGGCUGUCGUCAGCUCGUGUUGUGAAAUGUUGGGUUAAGUCCCGCAACGAGCGCAACCCUUAUCCUUUGUUGCCAGCGGUCCGGCCGGGAACUCAAAGGAGACUGCCAGUGAUAAACUGGAGGAAGGUGGGGAUGACGUCAAGUCAUCAUGGCCCUUACGACCAGGGCUACACACGUGCUACAAUGGCAUAUACAAAGAGAAGCGACCUCGCGAGAGCAAGCGGACCUCAUAAAGUAUGUCGUAGUCCGGAUUGGAGUCUGCAACUCGACUCCAUGAAGUCGGAAUCGCUAGUAAUCGUAGAUCAGAAUGCUACGGUGAAUACGUUCCCGGGCCUUGUACACACCGCCCGUCACACCAUGGGAGUGGGUUGCAAAAGAAGUAGGUAGCUUAACCUUCGGGAG
rnacentral:rRNA from 1 species